GGGCAGAGUCAGCAUUCUACUGGAUCUGGUGGUGUCUGCCAUGAAACCUCUGCAAUUCUGAAACCAUUCAAGUGUAUAGAAUAGCAGACAUGCAAAGCAUCACCAAGGCAACUCCAUCAACAACCCUUCCAUCAACACACGUAGCCUCGUUUAAUUGAGACAACAUCCAUUAGCCGCUGAUUCUGUUUAUCCUUCGAAUGACAAUGAACUGUCGGGGACCGAAGACACAUCAACCCAAACAGCUGGUCCAACAGCCUAGACUGAGACUCACUGGCGUAGGCCAAACAGAGAACCUAACCCAUAAAUGACACCUGCUUAUAAUAAUACUAAUCAAGCUCUUCUUCACUUGGCCUUGGGCUGGUGCCUUUGAUGCACCCACACACUAUGACCAUAAACUAGUAAAAGCACAGCUCCCCUGUGCUGUACUGGAAAUACAGCACAGGGGGACCGUCCUUUUACUAAUACUCAUUAAUUUUGUAUGUUCUAUAAUGCUAACAGGACUAUGGCUUUGCAAUUUGUAUACAUACCCUAGUAUCAAUGCUACUACACAUAAUAAUAAUAAUGGAAUACUAUCCAUGUACUAACAUUGUAUGUUCAUUCAUAAUAAUAUGUCAUUAAAAUUGUAUCAUAUACUAGUUUUUAAUCGUU